CUGGCUGCGUGCCCUGGAGAAGCUGGGGCUCUGCUGGGCACCAGGUAGCUUCCCUGGCCCUGCCCUGCAGCCUCUCCUCUUUGGGGCCCUCCUCUCUGGAAGUCCACCCGGCUUGCUGUCCACGUGUCCACACUCCUGCCCUCAGUGAGUUCUUGGCCUUCUCUUCCUGCCUGGGAUCCUGCAGAGCUUUCAUCUCAUUUUCUUUUUCUAUAUCAGGCUGAGUCUGGAGGUUCCUGCAGGGGCUGUGAGAUCUCCUUUCACAGAUGGUUCCAUCUCUCUCUGGAAGUUUCCCCAGCUACAAAGUCCUUCUCCAUCCCUCUGGCCAGGGCAGACUGUGGUCAUUUGCCUGCCUUGUCUAGUGUCCUACAGAAGUGUCUGGUGAAGUGCGGUCAGAUGAUUAUAAAAGGAUGGACAUGCGACUGGUGGAGACAGUCCUGGUGUACGGACAGAGGGACGGAGCCCAGGGAGGCUGUGGCUGAGGCUGACCCUGGCUUUUAUAAAAGCAGUGACACCCUGUCUUUCAAAAUAGGAUUUCUGUGGAACUCCAGUAUAUGGAAAAGGCAACUGGUGAGCUGCGUUGAGGGAUAGGUGGAGAAUGGGGUCCUUGUUCCUGCCUAUUUCCACUGACCCUGCUUGCUUCCUCACCCGCAGAGGCCCCGGGGCUCCUCCUGGCCUCUUGGGCCCCGUGGAGCAUAGCAGGAAGGUUCCGGUGGAAUGUUCUCGGUCCUGCCUUCUGCCCCGACACUCUGGGGCUCCUGGGUUUUCAGCACAUUUGUUCAGCACGUGCCGCUGGCCUGGCUCUGUGCUCGGGCUGAGGAGGGAUGCAUUUUCCAGCUCUCAAACGUGAGAUGCCAGGACUCUGCUUCCUCUGAGCCCCGAAUCGGUAGUAGUAGAUUUAGUUGGCCACUGGUGGACAGAUUUUCAGAGGAAAGAAAAAUGGUUUGAUGCUGAAUGUGUGAUUAGAUUUGCAUAAUUGAAUUGAAAUAGAAUUAAAGGGUCAUAUGUGUACACAGUGAUGCCUAAAAUCAGAUUGUGGUGAUGUGUGCUCAGUACUAAAAUGGGUUCCUCAGGGACGUGUGGAUAUCCGCUUCCCAGCAUCUCUGCAAGAGCUGGAGAGAGGUUUCUUGGGGGAGGGGAUUGUUUGGGGAGCCUGUCGAGGAGACAGAGGGGUGGGGGUGACAACAGUCAUUUGCCGAGCACUUCCUGGGUGUCAGGCCUGUACUAAGUGAUUUACCUGGG
rnacentral:lncRNA from 1 species